rnacentral:tRNA from 1 species
GCCUGGGUGGCUCGGUUGGUUGAGCAUCCGACUUCAGCUCAGGUCUGAUCUCACCCUUCGUGAGUUCAAGCCCCACAUCAGGCU